rnacentral:rRNA from 1 species
AUACGAAGGGUGCGAGCGUUAAUCGGAAUUACUGGGCGUAAAGCGCGCGUAGGCGGUUGGAUAAGUCGGAUGUGAAAGCCCCGGGCUCAACCUGGGAAUUGCAUUCGAAACUGUCCGGCUAGAGUAUGGUGGAGGGAAGCGGAAUUCCACAUGUAGCGGUGAAAUGCGUAGAUACGUGGAGGAACACCAGUGGCGAAGGCGGCUUCCUGGACCAAUACUGACGCUGAGGUGCGAAAGCGUGGGGAGCAAACAGGAUUAGAAACCCUAGUAGUCC